CCUACGGGAGGCAGCAGUGAGGAAUAUUGGUCAAUGGACGCAAGUCUGAACCAGCCAUGCCGCGUGCAGGAAGACGGCUCUAUGAGUUGUAAACUGCUUUUGUACGAGGGUAAACGCAGAUACGCGUAUCUGUCUGAAAGUAUCGUACGAAUAAGGAUCGGCUAACUCCGUGCCAGCAGCCGCGGUAAUACGGAGGAUUCAAGCGUUAUCCGGAUUUAUUGGGUUUAAAGGGUGCGUAGGCGGUCGGAUAAGUUAGAGGUGAAAUCCCGAGGCUCAACUUCGGAAUUGCCUCUGAUACUGUUCGGCUAGAGAGUAGUUGCGGUAGGCGGAAUGUAUGGUGUAGCGGUGAAAUGCUUAGAGAUCAUACAGAACACCGAUUGCGAAGGCAGCUUACCAAGCUACUUCUGACGUUGAGGCACGAAGGCGUGGGGAGCGAACAGGAUUAGAUACCCUUGUAGUC
rnacentral:rRNA from 1 species